rnacentral:rRNA from 1 species
AUUGAACGCUGGCGGCAGGCUUAACACAUGCAAGUCGAGCGGAGAUGAGGUGCUUGCACCUUAUCUUAGCGGCGGACGGGUGAGUAAUGCUUAGGAAUCUGCCUAUUAGUGGGGGACAACAUUUCGAAAGGAAUGCUAAUACCGCAUACGUCCUACGGGAGAAAGUAGGGGAUCUUCGGGCCUUGCGCUAAUCGAGGAGCCUAGGUCGGAUUAGCUAGUUGGUGGGGUAAAGGCCUACCAAGGCGACGAUCUGUAGCGGGUCUGGGAGGAUGAUCCGCCACACUGGGACUGAGACACGGCCCAGACUCCUACGGGAGGCAGCAGUGGGGAAUAUUGGACAAUGGGCGGAAGCCUGAUCCGGCCAUGCCGCGUGUGUGAAGAAGGCCUUAUGGUUGUAAAGCACUUUAAGCGAGGAGGAGGCUACUUUAGUUAAUACCUAGAGAUAGUGGACGUUACUCGAAGAAUAAGCACCGGCUAACUCUGUGCCAGCAGCCGCCGUAAAAC